CACAGAGUUAGCCGAUGCUUAUUCCUCAGAUACCGUCAUUGUUUCUUCUCCGAGAAAAGGAGUUGACGACCCGUAGGCCUUCCACCUCCACGCGGCAUUGCUCCGUCAGGCUUUCGCCCAUUGCGGAAAAUUCCCCACUGCUGCCUCCCGUAGGAGUCUGGGCCGUGUCUCAGUCCCAGUGUGGCUGAUCAUCCCCUCGGACCAGCUACUGAUCAUCGCCUUGGUAAGCUAUUGCCUCACCAACUAGCUAAUCAGACGCGACGCCCCUCCGUUGGGCGGUAUUUCUCCUUUUGCUCCUCACGCCGUACGGGGUAUUACGCCUAAACCGUUUCCAGUUCGUUCGUUCCCCCUCCGAAGGGUCCUAGGUUUCUUACGGCGUUUACUCCGUACCCGUUCGCCACGUACGGAAACCACCCUACCUUUCCCGUUCGAC
rnacentral:rRNA from 1 species